CCGCAAAUUGACACCGUAACUUCGGGAGAAGGUGUGCCGCUGGCGGUUAGUGACUUCGCGUCACGAAGCUGUUGGUGGUCGCAGUGAAAUGGCGGUUGUGACUGUUUACUAAAAACACAGGACUCUGCGAAGUCGUAAGACGACGUAUAGGGUCUGAUGCCUGCCCGGUGCUGGAAGGUUAAGGGGAUAUGUCAGCGCAAGCGAAGCAUUGAACCGAAGCCCCAGUAAACGGCGGCCGUAACUAUAACGGUCCUAAGGUAGCGAAAUUCCUUGUCGGGUAAGUUCCGACCUGCACGAGGGCAUAACAACAUCCGCACUGUCUCGACCAGGGACUCAGCGAAAUUACAUUGGGGGUGAAGAUGCCCUCUACCCGCGGAAAGACGGAAAGACCCCAUGAACCUUUACUGCAACUUGGCAGUGAUUUUCGGGUUGUUCUGCGUAGGAUAGGUGGGAGGCUUUGAAGCCGGGCUUCCGGGUUCGGCAGAGCCAACGUUGAAAUACCACCCUGAAUAAUCUGGAAAUCUAACCUGCGCCCAUGAUCUGGGCGAGGGACACUGCCUGGUGGGCAGUUUGACUGGGGCGGUCGCCUCCUAAAUUGUAACGGAGGCGUGCGACGGUUCCCUCAGGCUGAUUGGAAACCAGCCGUAGAGUGCAAACGCAUAAGGGAGCUUUACUGCGAGACUGACAAGUCGACCAGUUGCGAAAGCAGGUGUUAGUGAUCCGGUGGUACCACAUGGAAGGGCCAUCGCUCAUCGGAUAAAAGGUACUCUGGGAUAACAGGCUGAUCGCGCCUGAGAGUUCACAUCGGCGGCGCGGUUUGGCACCUCGAUGUCGGCUCAUCGCAUCCUGGGGCUGGAGCAGGUCCCAAGGGUUUGGCUGUUCGCCAAUUAAAGCGGUACGCGAGCUGGGUUUAAAACGUCGUGAGACAGUUUGGUCCCUAUCUUCCGUGGGCGCAGGAUACUUGAGAGGAGCUAUCCAUAGUACGAGAGGACCUGGAUGGACGAACCUCUGGUGCUCCGGUUGUCACGCCAGUGGCAUAGCCGGGUAGCCAUGUUCGGAACAGAUAACCGCUGAAGGCAUAUAAGCGGGAAGCUGGCCUCAAGACUAGGUAUCCCUGACGCAAGUCACUAAAGGCCCCUCGAAGACUACGAGGUUGAUAGGCUCGGUGUGGAAGCACAGCGAUGUGCGGAGCUAACGAGUACUAAUAGGCCGUGCGGCUUGACCUC
rnacentral:rRNA from 1 species